GGACCGGCAAUGGGGGCUGCUCCCCGGCCUGAGGGGAGCCCUCCUCGCCCCGACCGGCCCGACCCCGCAACGGGGAGAGGAAGGAAACGAACACGUGCUAUCUUUCAGCAGCCCCUGCAGACAUCUUUACACACAUGUACAACCCCCCCUCCCCACCAUCCCGAUUGGGCCUCUAAGGGGAGAUCCAGUCACAUCAAGUCAUACAGAGGCUCAUGUGUGAAGAUGAGAUAAAUCCCAGCAGGGAACCUGAGAGUCUGCUUAAGCAUCAUCUGGAAAGAAGUUCGGUGCAGAUCAGACUUAUGGAUGCAUGCUAAACAAUUACAAUAGGCACUUCAGGACUGAGCUAUUAUUUCAGUGGCAGUGAAGGUCACAGACCUUGACCUUGGCUCCCUGUGUGACAGUGGCAACGUGCCAGCAAAGGAGGAGGACUUACAAGACAGAUGGCCUAAUUCAUCAUACACCCAAAAAAAGCUGUCCCAAGCAUCACAUCCACAGCGACGAUGGUAAAAUUCACAACUCGAGAGACCUGCCAGGCAAUUACACCACACGCACGCACAUGUUGCUCCAGUUCCUGUGCAGAUCUCUAGGAAAGGAAAGCCUGAAAAGUUUACAAAAUGCAAAAAGUCUUAACAAAUGCAAUCACCUAGAGCUAGAAGAAGAACUGACCAAUCCCUGGUUAGGCUGGACACUUAAGAGAGGGAUGCUGACAGAUUAUUAUAUAUUAAAGGAUGGGAUGUCAAUUAUUGCUAAGUUAAAAGAUGGCACUUGGCAUAUUAUGCGACUCACCAAUUUCUUUUCAUCCUUUCUUUCUGUUCGUACCCUCAGAGCUGGAAAAGGCUUCUGGGUUUAUGUCUCGAUGCUAGAAAAUGAGCAUCUUUGUCUGUACACCGUGUACUGCCAGCUUCCCCACACUGCCUUUACAUCAAGCCUUAGUCUCGGUUUGGAGGAAACAAUGCUCAGACUAGGAGAGAGCUGUCAUUCUCCAGGGUCCAGGCAAUCCUUGGCUUCUCCGUAGAGGCUGUGAGGAAAGGUGCUAAUUCCUCUCCCUGGGGAGGGGGUGGCCUCUUUGUGGUGUGGGAAGCCAGCCACCUGGAAACGGACCGAGAACAACCUGACUGAAAACAAUAUUACUUUAUUUAUAGCUGCUCCUAUCUGAGGAUUGCAAAGCCUUUCAUAAAACACCAAUGAGUUAAGCCUCAGCUGCCAAACACAGGAAGAAAACCGAGGCUGCAGAUUUUUCCUGACCAGACGCACGCAACAACUCUAUGGCAAAGUUGGGCCAGAGCCUACUCACCCUGUUCUUUUACCCCUGACUUUAAUACAGGCCGGCACCCGGGUACCAGAUGAAAAGAAGAUAUUCAUGUUGUGUACACUGGCCAAAGGCAUGAACGAAACACUUGCAUCCCAGGGCUUUGCUCCAAAAUGGCUUGGACUGAGCCCUGUUUUUAAGCUCCAUUCAAAUGCUUAACACGGGCCAUCAGAAUCAUCCCCUUGCCCUUUUGCAGGCCAAGGAAGGUGUGCUUGGAAAGGCAAGAGUGGAAGGAUCUCUUCUGCACAAAUAUGGUGUGAAACCAAACACACUGGAGAACCUUCCUUGCCAACGAAGUCCCUCACUCGGGAUUUGGGGGUUGCUCUGAUGCUAUUUCAGAGUCAACGGGUUCUCUUGAAGGGUCCCGCUGAACCAUGCCCUGCUCCUCUGUAAGUCAUGCCCCCAGGCCUUGUUCUUUUUAUAAACUUUAUCUGCUCACGAUGCACUGAAAGACACAUCCUGGGAACUCUCUCAAGUUUUAAGUUUGCCAGCUGGAGUCAUCCAUGCUUCCCCCUCGUCACUCGGCAUAUUGCAGAGAUCAGCCCACGUCGCUUCACGCAGCAGCUCAAGAAAAAGGAAGGAAUUAGACAACAAAGAGCAGGGAUGUACUGUACCGAGUGCCGCCUACUGAUUCCCGUUCAGACAGGAAACGCUCUCCCGGCUUCUUGUCAAGCAGCACAUACGUUUAGAGAGGAGAGCAACCCAGCACCGAGAAAACAUCCCAUUCACCUUUGUGCACCGGGCGAGGGGCUGAUAGUAUGAGAAAAAGAAAAAGAAGAUAUGAAAAAGAAGAAAAGCAAGGAAGAUCUUCCAAAACUUUAGCUCAGCAACCUAUGUCUUGAAGGCCAGAUCCAGGCUGCAAAGAAAUUUUAGCUGGCCUGCCAAGACAGGUUGGCGGCAGGAUUUGGCAGUGAGGGGAAUCAGUGGUGGCAGUGGCCGGGCUGCGUGGCCUGCCUUCAAACUGAGCUGUUAGCAUUAAUUCAGCCCACCAUUGGUAAAAGUUUGCCAGCCCCUGAUCCUAGGUACUUACACAGCCCCAUUACUCUUGUAUCUGAGCUACCUCAAAAACUUGAAGGUAUUUGUCUUGGUAGCACCUCAUGAAGGAAGAACAUGAUAUUUGCUCUGUUAACAGAUGGGGAAGGGAAGCCAAGUGCCUCACCUUGCAUCAUGCAGGUGAAGCUGGGACUCGUACAUCCCAGCUUGGCACCCUGAUCACUAUAUCCUUCCUCUCUCGCCCCAUGGUUUUCAAGGUCCUAGUGCAAAUGCUCCACAGGAUAACAGUUCCACUAUGGACACCACCAGAGAGGUACUGACGUGAACUCGAGUCUGUUCACUUGGCAUCUGCAGCUAGGCUUAAGGGAAGCCCCAGAAUUCAGCAGAGCUACAUUCAGCACCUGUUAAUUGGUGGUGAGCAGAAUGAAGACUCUUGACGAGAGGGCUGCAUCCAUGGACGAGCAACCGGCAUCUUUUCAAAUAAAAAAAAAAAUGGUUAUGCAAACCUAGACAACAUCAGAAAGUGCCAAGCAAAUGUUUUUGCAAAUGGCGACAUUCCAGGGGAUCAGACUAACCUAUUCUUACUAUAGACAGACCCAACCAGAAAAAGGUCGAAUGUUUUUGGGCUUGGCAUUCCGAUGCAAGCCCAUGUCUGGUUUUCUCCAGGUUUACUAGAGAUCAAUCACAGUACCGCACUGGUUCUCCAUUGCCCAAUAAAGGACAGGGAAGUGACAUGGUUGGGACAAAACCCUGUAUUGUUCUAGACUCAUUUGGCAAGCUUAGUGGAAGUGGUAGCAGUCUUUCCAAUGCACACAUUUAGCUCUUCAUCCAGUGAUAGGUCGUCACUCACUGUGGGUCCAAGGUAGCAGAACUUGUUCACUGCUUUGAGAGGUGUGUUGUCACAGCUGAUAGAUGGUGACUGGCAAACAACCUGCCCUAGGAUUACAGUUGCUGGUCAGGGCAAACCUCUUGCGAGCAUGGGAGAAACGAUUCAUGAGCAUUUGUAGUUGGCUUUCUUCAUGGGCAGCGAGUGCAGCAUUGCCACCAAAAAGGAACACACUAAUGAGUAUGUGCCUUGUUUUUGCCUUUAGACGUGAUGAAUUGUGGAGUUUGCCAUCUGAUCUUGUGCAAAAGUAUAUGCCGCCUUCCUCCAAGCCAUCAAACACAUAGUGCAGCACCACAGAGAAAAAUAUCCCAAAGAGUGGGAUAACACAACUCUGCUUCACUCCACUCUUCAUCUCAAACCUAUCAUCAAACUGAACUGUGGCCUGCAUGUUUCAUGGAAGGAGUGUAUCAUACUGAGUAAUGUUGAGGGGUACCCAAUCUUUACCAGGACUUUGAACAAACCUGCUCUGCUGACAGGGUCAAAGGCUUUUGUCAUGUCAACAAAUGUACAGUGGCUUAUUUUUUUCUCUGCAUUACUCUUGCAGUUGGUGUAAAGAGACUAUCAUGGCCACUGUUGAUCUCCCUGCUCUGAAGCCAUACUGUGAUUCUGGGCAGACAUGGUCAGCAAGUUGUUGCAAGCAUUUCAGGAUGACUCUGGCAAAAGGCUUGCCUGUGACUCUGAGGAGAGACAUUCCCCUAUAGCUGAUGCAAUCACCUUCAUCUCUCUUGCAGAGAGUGAUGAUGUUAGCAUCAUGCACGCCCUGGGGUACUUGACUUUCCUUCCAGCAGCAUGCUGGGAGUGGAUGAAGAUGUGGUAGCAGAUUAGCCUUCCUGCAUUAGCUACUAGGAAGGUAGUAAAACACUGGAACAGGUCAGAGAGAGGUGGUGAAAUCUCCAACCUUAGAGGUUUAUAAGACCCAGCUAGACAAAGCCUUGGCUGGGAUGAUGUAGUUGGGGCUGGUCCUGCUUUGAGCAGCGGCUUGGAUUAUAUGUGACCUCCUGAAGUCCCUUCCAACCCUAAUUUCCUAUGAUUUUUAUGAUUGGGCAUGUCCAGAGUAUUCAUUUGCCCAGAAAUCAUGAUUAACCACAGGGACUUCAGGAAGGGAACAGAAAAAACAAAAGGGCUUAUUGCAAGGAAGAACAAAUAGUAUCACAAAAAGUAACCCAAUGCUUUGACCACACAGUACAGUAAAAAAACAAAACUGACAAAAUCCUUACCCUAUCAGACUACCUCCUAGCCCUCAACAUCCCUGUGAAAACCUCCUGGGGGACCUUCAUUCACCAUCUCCUCUCCUGCCCUUACAUGGGUCCCCCUCUCAAGCCACCCCCUAAUGGUCACUGCCUCCAGGACUUUCCACACAGCCUCAGGGGAGCUGGAGAACCCUCUAGACUGUUUUCUGCCUGUGCAUCUGCGACACCCGGUACAAUUUGAUCCGGAUCCAGAAAAAGAUACCAAAAGUGCAACACGCCUGAGGCAGUAAAACUUGUAAUAAACCUGCACUGCCAAAUGCAUUGGCUCUUUUGACUGUCGUGGCAGGCACACAAAGUCUGGGCAAGUCUGAAGAGAAUUUGGGUUUCAUCAGCAGGGCUGCCUCUGGAAGUAGCGUCGUGCAAUGAUGUCGACACUGCUAGUGCCAUCACUGUGGAAGCAAGCAGUACAGAAUAACCACUUCUUUACAAAUUUAACACACACACGGCAAAAGAACUACUUCUUUACAAAGUUAACCCCUCCUCCCCGCCUCCCCCCCAUAAUAUAAACAAUAUAGGAUCGGAGAAAAGAAGGGCUGGAAAAGCCCUCAGGUCUACUAGUCCAACCCCCUGCUCAAGGCAGGAUCAUUCUUGUCUGAAUCAUCUCAUCCAAGCAUUUAUCUAACCUGCUCUGAAAAUUUUCCAAGGAUGAAUACUGCACAAGCUAUGUAAGUAACCUAAUUCCAGUGCUCAACCACCCUCAGAGUUAGGAAGUUCUUCCGAAUAUCCAACCUAAAUCUGCCCUGUUACUAUUUAAGACUGUUACUUCUGUCCCCGACAGUCACAGAAAAUAGUCUAUUACCAACCUUCUUAAAACCACCAGUAUUCAAAGACUGUUAGCCAAAUCUCCUCUUGUGUGUUGUGCUGUGUGCUUGAGAACUAUCCGUUUUAAUGCAUUUCCCACAUUUGACUAUAUACAGCAGGCUGGGGCAGACUCCUGUAUUCUCUGGAGGAUCUGAACAAUGAAGGUCACAGGCCUGUGCUUCAUUCCAAAAAGUAGAGAGGAGAAACUCAUUGAAUUCUCCGUGGGUAGCAAACAGGCUUUCUAUCUGUAGUGAGGGUCAGCAGUGAUUAGAUAUUGUGCUUCUGACACACAGACACUAUCCAGAAAUGCCAUCCAUCAGACAGCACAAAAGCAGUGAGCCUCCUGCAAUUCGCAGCUGACUGAUACUCCUGUAGCUGGUGAUGAGUUUGCAUGGCUGGGCCCUAAAUUCUAAUCCCAUCUGGUUUAGAUUAGGAUUCUAGAAAGCCGGGCAGUUGUCAGGUGUCAAAAUCCAGAGAUCUUAUGUGUCACUUCACAGACUACCCCUCUGGACUUCUCCCCAGAUGGAAAAGCUUUUCUAAAUGUGGAGAAUUAAUAUGCUGUUUAAUUAAUAAUUCUGACGAAAAUAAUAUGGGGGGAGGGCUGGAAGUUUCUGGGGGAAAAAAAAUUCUAAUUCUAGUGCAAGUGAAAUGCAACAUGAAACAGCUGCUGAUUCAGUAGCACUGAAAACUGAUGCUAGUGCAGCAUGCUUAUAAAUGGACUAGCUCGCUGCGCCCAGUUUAUGCUGCUUGAAGCAAGCAGUUAACACUUAGCUCAUAAACUGCAGCAACAGAGGAAUCUGAAAACUACCACCCAUUCAUCUUCCCCAAGUGAUAACGUCACCACUUUAAUAAGAAAUGGCUGGGGGGAAAAACAGGAAUCAAAAUGCCAGUCCAACGUAAGACAAGGGACAGGUUAGCAUGUACUGCACUGAGGGCACCCCCUGCCGGCUGCGGUAGUGGGCUGCAGCGUGAGAUAUAGAAGAGGAAGACAGAGCAGGGAUGCCACGGAGCAAAGGGCAUAGCAGAACAAUAGCCCAAGGAUCUCAACCCAAAUGAUCUCCUCGUGUAUCGAAGCUCAAUGUAACGGGGAGGAAAGUGAGCUCAGGCCAGCAAAGUGGUGCCUUAAUGUCAAGAAGUUUUUUUGAAGAUGUAUCCACCCAGCAUAAGAUUCCUAUGCCAGAGAUGUUUGUACCCACAAAGCACUAUUUAAACUACCAACAAAUGAGGCAGCAACUCUGGUAAAACCAAUUUACGCUGAAUACACACAUGGAACAAUUUAGGUUUUGUUUCUGGAAAUACUAUACCGAGUACGAUAGCGACAGUAAAAGCACCGCUUUCAUGGUGUCUAACAUGGGAUGGAGACGAGAGGCUGGAAAUGAAGGGCUUUUGCAGAGUCUGGGGUCACCUUUCCCUAGGAGAAUAUUUUGAAAGAGUAUCUGAGCGGAAUCGCAGCUAGUGCAAAUUGUCAUAGCUCCACUAAGCCCAUGGAACCAAGAUAAUCUCUCCUAAGGGAGGGCAGGAUAUUUACUACAAUCUAGAGCAUUUCAACAGCAGAACAGUUGCCCUAGCAGAGAUUUAAUGUACUCUAGGGAUAAAUGAUCUAUGAUCAACAGAAAAGUCAUAAUAAUUUAUCUUCCAAUUGGGUGGCAGAAGUUUAAUGAGGGGUUCCCUCCCAUGGCACACCUCUGCCACAAAGAAAAAAAAACAGGUAAGCAGAGAGUAUAUAGCGCCCUGAUAUUUCAGGUGCAGGGACAAGGAAAAGCACAAUUAUCUUCAUAAAACAAAUCAAGAAACUCCCUUGAAUUAUAACUCACCGUUUGUUUUAGCUUCAAGCAAAACUUAACAAUUUUAGCCCUUGCUUUUCCUAAAAUCCUCCCUAAUUUCUUACCUGCUUUUUUUUUCGCACUACAAGGUAUUACAAGAAUACCUGCCCUGCUACAUUUUGCUUCUGCAGAACACGGGAAAUAGGUUUAUUUUGGAAAGUGAUUCUACCAGUCAAACCACAGACCUAGCCAGUUAUAUCCCCUCAAAACUCCAAGAUUUGGAUAAUUUUUGAACCAGGGAAGAGAAGUGUUCCCAGAUGUUUUACUCUCUUCCGGUCCAUAGUGAAACGAUUAUUUGCUCUACAUUAUCUGGAUUAAUAACUAUAAAUCUACACAAUAACAUAACAACCACAACUGUUAUUUUCACUGUUGUUCUUGCUGCUGAUUUUAUUUAUGCCUGGUGCUCAGCAAACACAGUCAAGUCCUGCCCUUAAUGAAGAACUCUUGCCUGUUUAGUCCUCUUCAGCUCCGCCUGCUGAUCAAAGAGCCAAACUGCAAUUUGAAACUUAAUAAAAUAUGGUUUUAAAAUGCUCAAUGAAACUUUAUAACAGUGCCCUAAACUUUAACUCAGUAGAAGAACUAAAUACCUCUAGAGAUGAAAAGAAAACUAGUUUAAGGCAGGGGUGUCAAAGAUACAGCCUGCAGAGCCCUGUCAUCUGGCCUGUGGUGCUGCCUGUGGGUCUUGGACUGGACCUGUUGGCUCCGGAUUUAGGACCCAGAGGCCUUGUUCUGGGGCCCUCAGACUGACCGUGACCUUUCCAUUCGAUAAUAGGCAAAUGUAUUGAUACACAGUGAUAACGGAAAAGAAACAAUACAAACAAUCAAGCAAUUCUAUACAUCUACCAAAUCCUAGGGAUGUCAUCAGAGUCAACAUACAUCUGACCAGGACACAGUCUUCACUCUGAGGCUGUCUUGUAGGCAUCACAUGUCAGCAGCCUGGAGGUGUGAUGGCAAGGCCCACACCCCUCCUCCAGUAGGGUGGAUGAGACAGGCUGGUGGUAUGCCCUCUGUCCAUGGUGACCUCAGGGACCCUUCUUGGGGGAUGGAGGUGGGAUGGGGAACCCCUCUCAAGGAGGAGAAGGAUA